UACGAAGGGGGCUAGCGUUGCUCGGAAUCACUGGGCGUAAAGGGUGCGUAGGCGGGUCUUUAAGUCAGGGGUGAAAUCCUGGAGCUCAACUCCAGAACUGCCUUUGAUACUGAGGAUCUUGAGUUCGGGAGAGGUGAGUGGAACUGCGAGUGUAGAGGUGAAAUUCGUAGAUAUUCGCAAGAACACCAGUGGCGAAGGCGGCUCACUGGCUCGAUACUGACGCUGGAGGCACGAAAGCGUGGGGAGCAAACAGG
rnacentral:rRNA from 1 species